AUCUUCCGCAAUGGGCGAAAGCCUGACGGAGCAACGCCGCGUGAGUGAUGAAGGGUUUCGGCUCGUAAAACUCUGUUAGUAGGGAAGAACAAAUGUGUAAGUAACUGUGCACAUCUUGACGGUACCUAAUCAGAAAGCCACGGCUAACUACGUGCCAGCAGCCGCGGUAAUACGCAGGUGGCAAGCGUUAUCCGGAAUUAUGGGGCGUAAAGCUCGCGUAGGCGGUUUCUUCAGUCUGAUGUGAAAGCCCCCGGCUCAACCGUGGAGGGUCAUUGGAAACUGGGAAACUUGAGUGCAGAAGAGGAAAGUGGAAUUCCAUGUGUAGCGGUGAAAUGCGCAGAGAUAUGGAGGAACACCAGUGGCGAAGGCGACUUUCUGGUCUGUAACUGACGCUGAUGUGCGAAAGCGUGGGGAUCAAUCA
rnacentral:rRNA from 1 species